CAAGCCUGAAUGCUUAUGUAAAGCACUUUGAAUUGCCACUGUGUAUGAGAUGUGCUAUAGAAAUAAACUUGCCUUGCCUUUUAAAAUCACAAUACAGUCACAGACCUCAAAAACACAUGCAAAUGAUGAAUUAUAGUCCAGACUCGACAUUGCAUAUAUUUGGAUGUGAGAUAUCAAUGCUGAAACCCUAUAUUGUGCAGCCCUAUACAACACACACUCAUGUAUUAUAUCAAAACAAACCUUAAUUUUGGGUCUGAUUAAUCUUUGCACAGCUCUAAAAACAUAUAUGCUUUACAAUCCCAUUAAGAUGCUGUAGUGCUGUGUGUUUUCCAGGGCUCGGAUGAAGAGAUGUCGGACUCAGAAUGUGAAGCGGAGAGCAGAGGAUCUGAGGACUCGUCUUUCGACACCUCCGCCGAGACCCGUAUUUCUCCAGACGCAUCUCCAGACGUCCUGCAGAAACUGAUCCUGUUCGUGAGCGGUCUGAGACUCCUGGUGUCGUCUCUAAUGAACAGUGCUGGAAGAGUCCUGGUCACCUUUCUGCUGGGACUGGCGGGUAUAACGUUCCCCUGUCUGACGUCGGCGCUGUAUUUCAGUGUGUUUCUGGUGCUGGUGUGGUGCUGGGUGCUGGACUUCUCCAUCUCUCUGCUGUUCUUCAGCUCUCUGUGUGUAAUGAUGACCAUCUUCAGUGGAGGACACGUGCUGAUCCUCUACCUGUACCAGCUGCCCCUCGCACAGCAGAUCAUUCCCCCUCACGAUCACUUCUCCAGGUGCACAGAUCAACAUCUCUGAACUACAGUGGCCGAGAGAGCCUAAUGUGCUGCUGUUGAAGAAAACGCAUGCAAUUACCAAAAACACCAGCAAAUUAAGUGGAGAUCCUCAUCAGUUUGAUAGUAAACGAGGGCAAAUCCUCACAACACAACCAAAUUAAGAAAACAGCACAUGCAAAUAGUAUAAGUCUGACGACACAUGAAAAUUAUUAUUUGUAAACAUCAUUAUUCUCUCUGUUUAUCAGGUUGUUUGGUUUGACAGCCCUCAUCAAAACCAACAUGUCAGAGCCGUACAGCCUGAUCCUGCAUGAGGACAGCAGCUGGCCUGCAGUGGUGAAUCCGCUGGUCCUCCUGCUGCUGUAUUUUACAGUCAUGAGUCUCCUACACAAGUGGGCUCACUCUGUUAAUCAGGUACUUUGAUGCACAAACACAAGGCCAUUUAUAUAUAUAUAUAUAUAUAUAUAUAUAUAUAUAUAUAUAUAUAUAUAUAUAUAUAUAUAUAUAUAUACUGCUCA
rnacentral:lncRNA from 1 species